UGCCCUAUAGCUCAAUUGGCAGAGCGGGCGGCUGUUAACCGCUUGGUUGUAGGUUCGACUCCUACUAGGGCAGCCA
rnacentral:tRNA from 1 species